rnacentral:rRNA from 1 species
AAUAAGUUAAGUAGCGGUGAAAUGCAUAGAUAUAACUUAGAACUCCGAUAGCGAAGGCAGCUUACCAGACUGUAACUGACGCUGAUGCACGAGAGCGUGGGUAGCGAACAGGAUUAGAUACCCUGGUAGUCCACGCCGUAAACGAUGCUCACUGGUUCUGUGCACGGGAUUAAGCGAAAGUAUUAAGUGAGCCACCUGGGGAGUACGUCGGCAACGAUGAAACUCAAAGGAAUUGACGGGGGCCCGCACAAGCGGAGGAACAUGUGGUUUAAUUCGAUGAUACGCGAGGAACCUUACCUGGGUUUAAAUGGAAGGUGCUGCAUGGUUGUCGUCAGCUCGUGCCGUGAGGUGUCGGGUUAAGUCCCAUAACGAGCGCAACCCUUACCGUUAGUUGCCACUCUAACGGGACUGCCACCGUAAGGUGGAGGAAGGCGGGGAUGACGUCAAAUCAGCACGGCCCUUACACCCAGGGCUACACACGUGUUACAAUGGCCGGUACAGAGGGCCGCUACCAGGUGACUGGAUGCCAAUCUCAAGAGCCGGUCGUAGUUCGGAUUGGAGUCUGUAACCCGACUCCAUGAAGUUGGAUUCGCUAGUAAU